UACGUAGGUGGCAAGCGUUGUCCGGAAUUAUUGGGCGUAAAGCGCGCGCAGGCGGUUUCUUAAGUCUGAUGUGAAAGCCCACGGCUCAACCGUGGAGGGUCAUUGGAAACUGGGGAACUUGAGUGCAGAAGAGAAAAGCGGAAUUCCACGUGUAGCGGUGAAAUGCGUAGAGAUGUGGAGGAACACCAGCGGCGAAGGCGGCUUUUUGGUCUGUAACUGACGCUGAGGCGCGAAAGCGUGGGGAGCAAACAGG
rnacentral:rRNA from 1 species